UACGGGGGGAGCAAGCGUUGUUCGGAUUUACUGGGCGUAAAGGGCGCGUAGGCGGUCGUGACAAGUCACUUGUGAAAUCUCCGGGCUUAACUCGGAACGGUCAAGUGAUACUGUCGGACUAGAGUACAGAAGGGGCAACUGGAAUUCUCGGUGUAGCGGUGAAAUGCGUAGAUAUCGAGAGGAACACCUGCGGCGAAGGCGGGUUGCUGGGCUGAUACUGACGCUGAGGCGCAGAAGCGUGGGGAGCGAACAGG
rnacentral:rRNA from 1 species